rnacentral:rRNA from 1 species
GAUGAACGCUGGCGGCGUGCCUAAUACAUGCAAGUAGAACGCUGAAGCUUGGUGCUUGCACCGAGCGGAUGAGUUGCGAACGGGUGAGUAACGCGUAGGUAACCUGCCUCUUAGCGGGGGAUAACUAUUGGAAACGAUAGCUAAUACCGCAUAAAAGUCGAUAUCGCAUGAUAUUGAUUUGAAAGGUGCAAAUGCAUCACUAAGAGAUGGACCUGCGUUGUAUUAGCUAGUUGGUGAGGUAAUGGCUCACCAAGGCGACGAUACAUAGCCGACCUGAGAGGGUGAUCGGCCACACUGGGACUGAGACACGGCCCAGACUCCUACGGGAGGCAGCAGUAGGGAAUCUUCGGCAAUGGGGGCAACCCUGACCGAGCAACGCCGCGUGAGUGAAGAAGGUUUUCGGAUCGUAAAGCUCUGUUGUAAGAGAAGAACGAGUGUGAGAGUGGAAAGUUCACACUGUGACGGUAACUUACCAGAAAGGGACGGCUAACUACGUG